rnacentral:rRNA from 1 species
AAUAUUGCGCAAUGGAGGGAACUCUGACGCAGCGACGCCGCGUGAGCGAUGAAGGUCUUCGGAUCGUAAAGCUCUGUCCUUGGGGAAGAAGGUCUUCGGACUUGACGGUACCUAAGGAGGAAGCCCCGUCUAACUACGUGCCAGCAGCCGCGGUAAUACGUAGGGGGCAAGCGUUGUCCGGAAUUAUUGGGCGUAAAGGGUGCGUAGGCGGCCCUUUAAGUCAGAUGUGAAAGCCCACGGCUUAACCGUAGUUAGCAUUUGAAACUAAAAGGCUUGAGUGCAGGAGAGGAAAGUGGAAUUCCUAGUGUAGCGGUGAAAUGCGUAGAGAUUUGGAGGAACACCAGUGGCGAAGGCGACUAACUGGUCUGUAACUGACGCUGAGGCGCGAAAGCGUGGGGAGCAAACA